rnacentral:rRNA from 1 species
AAAUGAAUAGACGGGGGCCCGCACAAGCGGAGGAACAUGUGGUUUAAUUCGAUGAUACGCGAGGAACCUUACCCGGGCUUGAAUUGCAUUUGAAUAUAUCGGAAACGUUAUAGCCAGCAAUGGCAAAUGUGAAGGUGCUGCAUGGUUGUCGUCAGCUCGUGCCGUGAGGUGUCGGCUUAAGUGCCAUAACGAGCGCAACCCUCAUCAUUAGUUACUAACAGGUCAUGCUGAGGACUCUAAUGAGACUGCCAGCGUAAGCUGUGAGGAAGGUGGGGAUGACGUCAAAUCAGCACGGCCCUUACGUCCGGGGCGACACACGUGUUACAAUGGAGGGGACAGCAGGCUGCAAGGCGGUGACGCCAAGCGAAUCCUUUAAACCCCUUCUCAGUUCGGAUCGAAGUCUGCAACCCGACUUCGUGAAGCUGGAUUCGCUAGUAAUCGCGCAUCAGCCAUGGCGCGGUGAAUACGUUCCCGGGCCUUGUACACACCGCCCGU